rnacentral:rRNA from 1 species
GAUGAACGCUGGCGGCGUGCCUAAUACAUGCAAGUCGAGCGAACAGACGAGGAGCUUGCUCCUCUGACGUUAGCGGCGGACGGGUGAGUAACACGUGGAUAACCUACCUAUAAGACUGGGAUAACUUCGGGAAACCGGAGCUAAUACUGGAUAAUAUAUUGAACCGCAUGGUUCAAUAGUGGAAGACGGUUUUGCUGUCACUUAUAGAUGGAUCCGCGCCGCAUUAGCUAGUUGGUAAGGUAACGGCUUACCAAGGCAACGAUGCGUAGCCGACCUGAGAGGGUGAUCGGCCACACUGGAACUGAGACACGGUCCAGACUCCUACGGGAGGCAGCAGUAGGGAAUCUUCCGCAAUGGGCGAAAGCCUGACGGAGCAACGCCGCGUGAGUGAUGAAGGUCUUCGGAUCGUAAAACUCUGUUAUUAGGGAAGAACAAAUGUGUAAGUAACUAUGCACGUCUUGACGGUACCUAAUCAGAAAGCCACGGCUAACUACGUG